rnacentral:rRNA from 1 species
GUUCCUUGGAAAAGGACAGCUGAGAGGGUGAGACUCCCGUCCGCCUGGUAGAGUGAGCCAUUUGUCAACGAGUCGAGUUGUUUGGGAUUGCAGCUCUAAUUUGGUGGUAAAUUCCAUCUAAAGCUAAAUAUUGGUGGGAGACCGAUAGCGUACAAGUACCGUGAGGGAAAGAUGCAAAGAACUUUGAAAAGAGAGUUAAAGAGUACCUGAAAUUGCUGAAACGGAAGCGAAGGAAACCAGUGUUUGUUGGUUCAUAUUUCCCUGGCCACUUGUGGUUUGGGCGCUGUGAGCUUGCGUGUGUUUGUCUUGGUUGAUCCCUUUGGAAGAGCGCAGUCAGAGUUGAUGUCU